rnacentral:lncRNA from 1 species
UACUUCCCUCCUUCAGUUCCUAUUUGAGGAAACUGAGGCUAUGAGCAUCUGUCCCAAAUACACAGAAUUAGUCCUGGGCUUGGACCCAAGUCCUGCAGUAGCAGCCACUACCUCUGACAGGCAGAUCUGUCCUCAAAACAAAGCAGGGCUCUCAUCACGGAGCUGGGACAGCCUGCCUGCCUGGUUGAGAGGCAGAAAUGGCUUCAUGGGAGCUCAGCACAUGCUUGUUCCCUCAGCCAUGUGACUUUGGGAAACUCACCAAAACCUCUCUGGGCCUCACUGGCUCAUUUGUCAAGAGGCGAUGCUAACCUGUGCCGUCUGCAUCGCGGGGUUCUGUGAGGGCCUGCUGAGAGGUGAAACGGACGGGAGAAAGGCUUCGGGGGAGUCAGGAGCGAGUGGGAUGGUCCUUCAUAAAGGUUCUACUGACAUGUUACUACAGAAGCAGAAGCCCAGGAGACAGAAAGCAGACAGGCUACAAUCCCGUCCGGGAGCCCUGCUCUGGAACCAGGACCUGCCCCUGCACGGGGUCCAAGCGAGGCCCACGGUCCACAGAGCCAGACCCUGCCCCGAACCGAUGGCCAAUCCUAGAAGACAAAAGACAGAGAGAUGGUCUUCCUGAACCAGGAACCCCAGAGAAAAUUUCCAAGAGGAGAUAUCCUAACUGGAGGAGGAAAACAGGGAAGAAGGAUGCUCCAGGGAGAAGGAACAGUGCAGCCCCAGGAGCAGAGGACACGGAGGAGGCUGCCUGUGGGGGGACUGCGA